AUUGAACGCUGGCGGCGUGCUUAACACAUGCAAGUCGAUCGGUAACGCGGGGGCAACCCUGGCGACGAGAGGCGGACGGGUGAGGAACGCUUGGGAAUCUGCCCAUCAGCGGGGGACAACCCGGGGAAACCCGGGCUAAUACCGCAUACGCUCUAUGGAGGAAAGCCGGGGACCGCAAGGCCUGGCACUGAUGGAUGAGCCCAAGUCGGAUUAGCUAGUUGGCGGGGUAACGGCCCACCAAGGCGACGAUCCGUAGCUGGUCUGAGAGGACGAUCAGCCACACUGGGACUGAGACACGGCCCAGACUCCUACGGGAGGCAGCAGUGGGGAAUAUUGGACAAUGGGGGAAACCCUGAUCCAGCGACGCCGCGUGGGUGAAGAAGGCCUGCGGGUUGUAAAGCCCUUUCGGUAGGGACGAAAGCUCUCGACCUAACACGUCGGGAGGUUGACUUAACCUACAAAAGAAGCACCGGCUAACUCUGUGCCAGCAGCCGCAGUAACAC
rnacentral:rRNA from 1 species